rnacentral:rRNA from 1 species
AGUGAACGCUGGCGGUAGGCCUAACACAUGCAAGUCGAACGGCAGCACAGUAAGAGCUUGCUCUUACGGGUGGCGAGUGGCGGACGGGUGAGGAAUACAUCGGAAUCUACUUUUUCGUGGGGGGUAACGUAGGGAAACUUACGCUAAUACCGCAUACGACCUACGGGUGAAGGCAGGGGAUCUUCGGACCUUGCGCGAUUGAAUGAGCCGAUGUCGGAUUAGCUAGUUGGCGGGGUAAAGGCCCACCAAGGCGACGAUCCGUAGCUGGUCUGAGAGGAUGAUCAGCCACACUGGAACUGAGACACGGUCCAGACUCCUACGGGAGGCAGCAGUGGGGAAUAUUGGACAAAGGGCGCAAGCCUGAUCCAGCCAUACCGCGUGGGUGAAGAAGGCCUUCGGGUUGUAAAGCCCUUUUGUUGGGAAAGAAAAGCAGCAGGUUAAUACCCCGCUGUUCUGACGGUACCCAAAGAAUAAGCACCGGCUAACUUCGUG